AAAUCAAACCCCUAUAAUAUUUCACAAAAACGCGCCUAAUCGAUCCCACCCUCCCAGUUGCGUCACUCAUCUCGCCUCUUCACCAUCAACGCUGCCGUCCGCCGUCCUCGCCUCUCCACCGUCAGCGCCACCAUCCGUCUUCGCCUCGCCACCGUUAUCUAGAGAGCAUUUCAGUGGAAGAAGGAGCUUUGUAACUCCGUAUAGCUCAUCGGCAUCGUCGUUACACCUGUCCAAAUCAAGGCCCCCAGCUCCGGUAAGGCCGUCGUUUGGUCUCGCCUAGCCGUCAAGAAAUACUCUACCGACACUGCCUGCUGGCAGGGGUCCAAUGUGCUGGAAACCCACAGUUUUGCGUGAACGAGGAUGGUUCAUAACAGGAAGAGGGACAAAAAAAUACAAGAGGGUAUAUCUGGGGUAAGGUACUGUAUGCGUUGGGGUCUGCUACCCCCUACAAAAAAAUUACGGGAAUGUGCUUGGAAAAAGCUUUACAUGCAGUUGCCCCUAUUGAUAAAGCUAGAUUAAGUUUAAAAUUUGGUUUAGAAGAAUUACUUUCUUCUUGCAGCGUGAUGAAGAGGACAUGGCUGAAUUUGUUAGGAAUUGCCCCGCUGAGUUCAAAGAGUAUUAUGUCCAAAUGUAGGCAGCAAAGAGAAACCAAACACCUCUUCCUUCUCAGGUGAAUGAUGACCGGAUUAUUCUUGACAAGACUCUUACUGAUCAAGUGUCUAUAUGGAAAAGCAGCAGAGGCCUGACUGAUAAGGUGGUCUUGGACCAUGAUUGCUCUGGAGAAACAUGUACUUACUAUCAAAUUGGAGAUGUAUUUGUUUGUGAGAAGACUGGGCAGGUUCAUGUUAUAUGUGGAUACCUUGGUGAAGAAAGCAUAUGAUAACUGGAACCAUGUUGUUGAAUAUGAUGGCAAGUCACUUUUGAGCUUCAAACAAAGUAAGAGGCCAGGCGCUUCUGGAAAUGAACUUCCAAUGGGCCCAGUCAAUUAUCCUACUUCUUUUGAAAAUCAACUUCCCCAACAACGGUUAGCAGGCUCAGUUCCUCCUGAGCAGUCGUCAAUGGAUUCAAGUCUACUAAUUGGAGGUAGGCAUGGCCUCUUUUUCUUUCUUUUUGGAUUGGUUACGAAUUGCUCCCCCCGCCUCCCAAAAGGAAAGGGGAAAAAAGGAAAGAAAACGACUUUUUUCUUAGGCUGUUCAUGGGUACGUGGUAGCAAGCCCAUUGGAUAAAUGGGUCGAACUAUUGUAUGGCAUUUGAAGCUUAAACAGUUUGGCUGGUUGCACUGGAAAAAUCUGAAACCACUUGCUUAUUAGUCUGUCUACCCAUGUACCUAAAAAAAAUCCUCAAUUUUCUCUUGUGCCUUUUGCUGUUCCUCUUGAAAUGGAUACCUCCACAAUAUUCUCAAAUAUUUUAAUUCUAUUAUGA